rnacentral:rRNA from 1 species
AACGAACGCUGGCGGUAUGCCUAACACAUGCAAGUCGAACGAGACCUUCGGGUCUAGUGGCGCACGGGUGCGUAACGCGUGGGAAUCUGCCCUUGGGUUCGGAAUAACUCAGAGAAAUUUGAGCUAAUACCGGAUGAUGACGAAAGUCCAAAGAUUUAUCGCCCAAGGAUGAGCCCGCGUAAGAUUAGCUUGUUGGUGGGGUAAUGGCCCACCAAGGCGACGAUCUUUAGCUGGUCUGAGAGGAUGAUCAGCCACACUGGGACUGAGACACGGCCCAGACUCCUACGGGAGGCAGCAGUGGGGAAUAUUGGACAAUGGGCGAAAGCCUGAUCCAGCACUGCCGCGUGAGUGAUGAAGGCCUUAGGGUUGUAAAGCUCUUUUACCAGGGAUGAUAAUGACAGUACCUGGAGAAUAAGCUCCGGCUAACUCCGUGCCAGCCGCCGCAGUAAGAC